rnacentral:tRNA from 1 species
GAGAAUAGAGCUCAGUGGCAGAGCACGUGCUUAGCAUGCAAGAGGUCGUGGGUUUAAUCCCCAGUGCUUCCA